GUGCUUAAUAAGUAUGUGUGGCCUUUCUCAUCUUGAAAGAGGAAGGCCGUUUUUUCUCUGUCUUAUUAACAAGGUGUUUGCUUUCUGUCUACCACACAGUAGAAUUUUUUAUUUUUUAUUGGACCAUUAUGUGCUAAAGACAGUUUUGCCGACAGUUUUGCCUGAAAAUCACUCAAGGUCAUCGUUUUCUAAAAAUGGAUUCUUCAGUCAUUCUUAUCAAGUAUUGUAUAACCUUAAAUCUUUAGUUCCAUUAUAUCGGAAAACAGGAGAAAACGC